UGCGAGCGGAGGGCGCGGUCGCAAGAUCGUGGCCCCGCACACGGCUCAGUAACACGUAGUCAACCUACCCUUGGGACGGGGACAACGCCGGGAAACUGGCGAUAAUCCCCGAUAGGUGAGGGAUGCUGGGAUGCUUCUUCGCUCAAAGCUCCGGCGCCCGAGGAUGGGACUGCGGCCUAUCAGGCUGUUGGUGGUGUGACGGACCACCAAACCUACGACGGGUACGGGCGAUGGGAGUCGGAGCCUGGAGAUGGGGACUGAGACAAGGCCCCAGGCCCUACGGGGCGCAGCAGGCGCGAAAACUCCGCAAUGCGCGCAAGCGUGACGGGGGAACCCCAAGUGCCGUUGGUCUUUUGAUCGACGGCUUUUCGGAAGUCCAAUAAGCUUCCGGAAUAAGGGCUGGGUAAGACUGGUGCCAGCCGCCGCGGUAACACCAGCAGCCCAAGUGGUGGCCGCGAUUAUUGGGCCUAAAGCGCUCGUAGCCGGAUCAGCAAGUCCUUUGUGAAAUCGGACCGCCCAACGGUUCGGCGUGCAAAGGAUACUGUUGGUCUUGAGACCGGGAGAGGUCGGAGGAACUCUUGGGGUAGCGGUGAAAUGCUGUAAUCCUGGGGGGACCACCAGUGGCGAAGGCGUCCGACCAGAACGGAUCUGACGGUGAGGGGUGAAGGCUAGGGGAGCGAACGGGAUUAGAUACCCCGGUAGUCCUAGCUGUAAAGCAUGCGGGCCAGGUGUCUAGCGCUCCUUG
rnacentral:rRNA from 1 species